GAUGAACGCUGGCGGCGUGCCUAAUACAUGCAAGUCGAGCGAAUGGAUUAAGAGCUUGCUCUUAUGAAGUUAGCGGCGGACGGGUGAGUAACACGUGGGUAACCUGCCCAUAAGACUGGGAUAACUCCGGGAAACCGGGGCUAAUACCGGAUAACAUUUUGAACCGCAUGGUUCGAAAUUGAAAGGCGGCUUCGGCUGUCACUUAUGGAUGGACCCGCGUCGCAUUAGCUAGUUGGUGAGGUAACGGCUCACCAAGGCAACGAUGCGUAGCCGACCUGAGAGGGUGAUCGGCCACACUGUGAUUGAGACACGGCCCAGACUCCUACGGGAGGCAGCAGUAGGGAAUCUUCCGCAAUGGACGAAAGUCUGACGGAGCAACGCCGCGUGAGUGAUGAAGGCUUUCGGGUCGUAAAACUCUGUUGUUAGGGAAGAACAAGUGCUAGUUGAAUAAGCUGGCACCUUGACGGUACCUAACCAGAAAGCCACGGCUAACUACGUGCCAGCCGCCGCGGUAA
rnacentral:rRNA from 1 species